rnacentral:ncRNA from 1 species
CGGCCUGAGGUCGGACGAGGCUACCCGCUGAAUUUAAGCAUAUUACUAAGCGGAGGAAAAGAAACUAACGAGGAUUCCCUCAGUAACGGCGAGUGAAGCGGGACGAGCCCAGCGCCGAAUCCGGCCGCUUAUGGAGCGGACGGAAUUGUGGCGUAUGGAAUUCGCUUCGAGCGCGGACCGGCUGCCCACGUCCUUCUGAUCGAGGCUUCAUCCCAAGCGGGUUGUCAAGGCCCUUGGCGGCGGCUGGCCCGGGCUCUCGGUGUCUUCCCGG